rnacentral:rRNA from 1 species
GACGAACCGUGCAAACGUUAUUCGGAAUCACUGGGCAUAAAGGGCGCGUAGGCGGCUCGAAAAGUCAGGGGUGAAAUCCGGCAGCUUAACUGUCGCAGUGCCUUUGAUACUGUCGAGCUCGAGGGAGGUAGGGGUCUGUGGAACUUCCGGUGGAGCGGUGAAAUGCGUUGAUAUCAGGAAGAACACCCGUGGCGAAGGCGGCUCUCUGGGACGGUACUGACGCUGAGACGCGAAAGCGUGGGGAGCGAACAGG